rnacentral:rRNA from 1 species
GUGUCAGCAGCCGCGGUAAUACCCGCGGCCCGAGUGGUGGUCGAUAUUAUUGAGCCUAAAACGUCCGUAGCCGGUCUUGUAAAUCCUUGGGUAAAUCGGCCAGCUUAACUGUCCGAAGUCCGGGGAGACUGCAAGACUUGGGAUCGGGAGAGGUCAGAGGUACUUCUGGGGUAGGGGUAAAAUCCUGUAAUCCUGGAAGGACCACCGGUGGCGAAGGCGUCUGACUAGAACGAAUUCGACGGUGAGGGACGAAGCCCUGGGGCGCAAACGGGAUUAGAUACCCCGGUAGUCCAGGGUGUAAACGCUGCGGGCUUGGUGUUGGGGGUCCUUUGUGGGCGCCCAGUGCCGGAGAGAAGUUGUUAAGCCUGCUGCUUGGGGAGUACGUCCGCAAGGAUGAAACUCAAAUGAAUUGGCGGGG